GGCAGUCUCCACGGCCAGGUUGGAUGGGGCUUUGAGCAAUGUGGUCUAGUGGAAGGUGUCCCUGCCCGUGGCAGGGGGGUUUGAAUUGGAUGAUCUUCAAGGUCCCUUCUAACCCAAACCAUUUUUGGUUUCACAGAACCCUAAGUAUGCCAGUUGUUGUAGAAUACAAUUUCUUUCUAGUAGUGCAGAGCUAGAAUUGAUUGACAGCUGGAAGCUUGGUAUCAUUUAAGCCUGUUAUCUGGAACUUCUGCUGAAGUGCUGGCAACAACACUUCUGUCUGAAGUACAGAUUCCAUUUGAAUUUGAUCAGUUCAUUUUUUUUUUAGUUUGAAGAAUUCUUUGUGUAAUCUAGGAAAGGCCUAGGAAAGACAUUAACAUAGAUUACUUCUAGAAUUUCAUCACAGUGAAAUUUGCCUACGUAAUAUUGCCUCAGAGCAGAGAUGCAGCUGGGUAGCAACCUGUUCCAGUGGUGUGUUACAGCAGUGCUACUGUCAGGUUCUUCUGUCCGUAGAAAUCUGUAAAUGGUCAAGCUUUUUGAUUAAUAAUUCAACUAAAGAAAAUAUAUCUUUGGUA